GGAGAUUUGGCAGACAUGGUGUAUGCAGGGGACUGAAAAUCCUCCAAAGAAAGUUCGAGUCUUUUGGUCUCCA
rnacentral:tRNA from 1 species